rnacentral:rRNA from 1 species
UUCUAAGGGCGUUGAAGCAUGAUCGCAAGGACAUGUGGAGCGCUUAGAAGUGAGAAUGCCGGUGUGAGUAGCGAAAGACGGGUGAGAAUCCCGUCCACCGAUUGACUAAGGUUUCCAGAGGAAGGCUCGUCCGCUCUGGGUUAGUCGGGUCCUAAGCUGAGGCCGACAGGCGUAGGCGAUGGAUAACAGGUUGAUAUUCCUGUACCACCAUUAUUCGUUUUAAGCGAUGGGGGGACGCAGUAGGAUAGGCGAAGCGUGCUGUUGGAGUGCACGUCCAAGCAGUGAGAUUGAGUGUUAGGCAAAUCCGGCACUCUUAAGAUUGAGCUGUGAUGGGGAGAGGAACUUGUUCCUCGAGUCGUUGAUUUCACACUGCCGAGAAAAGCCUCUAGCUAGAAUAACGGUGCCCGUACCGCAAACCGACACAGGUAGUCAAGAUGAGAAUUCUAAGGUGAGCGAGCGAACUCUCGUUAAGGAACUCGGCAAAAUGACCCCGUAACUUCGGGAGAAGGGGUGCUCUUUGAGGUUCACGCUUCGAAGAGCCGCAGUGAAUAGGCCCAAGCGACUGUUUAUCAAAAACACAGGUCUCUGCUAAACCGUAAGGUGACGUAUAGGGGCUGACGCCUGC